rfam:Myotis davidii contig227364, whole genome shotgun sequence.
GGCGGUUCUUCGGUGACACACCGUGGAAUAGGACUCCCUCUUCUCUGGUUCUGAGUGUGUCACCCAACAACCACA